CCCUGAUAAUUGACUAUUGUCCUAGAUUAUUACAGUGGACUUGCAGGUGUUACUCAAAAGUCAUCUCAUGCUGAAUUAAACUGCAUGGAAGCUGCGAACUAACUCCUAAUAGUCAUUUUAAAACGUGCAUGACCUUGAUUGUUCAUCUCCUACAGACAUGUAAUAAUAUCACCAUACAGCGAACUCUGUAAGUUAGCCAGAAAUAGAAAUACAGAAUGAUUGUUUGCUGCAUGGCUCACAUUGUUAACUGAGCAAAAAUGUGCAUUGUUCCUUUAUACUCAUCACUCUACGUGGCUGCAAGAAGUCAGAGAAGUGCGCAUUUUGCUGUUUACUGUGAACCAGGUGGUGUUGCAGGCAAACUUACCAUUUGGUCUCAUAACAACUACAAGCUUUAUUUUAUCUCAUAUGUAUUUGAUGUGAUUGACAGAGACGAAAAGUGGUUCAAUUUACUUCAACGCAAUUCAAAAACACUUUAUUGAUCCCAAAGGGAAGCUAAAUGUUGUAAGUCAUAUCCAAGUUUUCUUCAGAGUUUUUGUAGAUGCUGAAUGCUGUGAGCAAGAAGGAUCUCCUGUAGGAGUCUGUAUUACUGCGAGUCUGAAGAAGCUUCUGACUGAAGGCACUCAACUGUUUUUGUCUAAUAGUCUCAUGAACAAGAUGGUCCAUGAUUUUCUUGAUUUUAUGAAAAAUUCUUCUUUGCAACAUAAUCUCCAGAUUCCACAGUUGUUCAAGUAGUUGUGAAAAAGAACAAAAAUUACGUUUUUCUACAAUGAAAGUGAGGGAAAAGGUUGUUUUAAGUCACCCAUAUUUCAUUACAGUUAUUGUUACAAAGGUUUUCUUAAAAUAGAAAAGGUACAGCACAAAGUUACCAUCAUAUAUCGACCACUUUUAAUUUAAUUUGAUAUUUUUGUUUUCAGGGAACUUAUAACAGUUUAACUUUUACCUGUAUUCCUGUCCUGGAUUUGAUCAGUGUCAUUUUCUGGACCAUUCCUGCAUUUGCCUAACAAAUAUUAAUAGAAUAUAUGUUGUGUCUAGCAGAACCAUAACAUUAAAUUAAAAGAAAAAAAUAAAAUGCCCAAUCUUAUCACAAAAAAACCCCAAUUACAUCGACAUAGAUUUGAUUUUAAAUUUAGAGAAUAAAAAUAGUCCUCUUCGGCAGAGUAGUGGAGUCUUCUAGUCUCUAUCUCUUUAACUAUCUCACCCUUUCCUGGAAAACUAAAUAGGCUAUAUGAUUUAUUUAAUAAUGCAGAAAUAUAGCUGUUGAUUAAAUAUUCAUCAGUGUCCAGGUAAAGGUACAAGUACGUCACCUUCCAGUUCAUCAAGAAUGGCAAUGUGCAGAUUGUUUAUGAACUGCUAUAAUGUCUCAUUAAACAUGUCUGAGAAUAAAUAUAAAUUGUAUCAUUGCA